UUGGACAUCUCUCUUUGGCUGGAGCUGCGCUAGAAGGAAGGACGAGGUGGACGCGCGCGCCAAGCUGGGUCGUCUCCCCCACUUCCGGGCAGCCAAUCAGUGGGGAGACGCCGGACGCGCGCACGCUCCUUCGAGUUUAACGGUCGCGAGAGGCCGCUGGCCUGAAUCUGACAUUUGCAGCGGGAGCGGCUGCCAGACUCCCUUGGAAGUUUAGGAUAUUCACAGUUCUGAAUGUUAGCCACUGAAAAUGCCAGUAGAAGAUGAAGCCUCUGAAGAUGACACGGAUUCAGUUUCCUCAAACAGUCCAGGAACCUCUAUUUUCAAAUAAGAGAGCAUAACAAUUUCUGUACACUAUGGAAGAAUUUGAUUUGGUGAAAACCAGACACAAAACUUCAUCUAUAGAAUCUGAUAAAAAUUCUCCUCAUUUACUUGGACUGAACUUAAAUACUGAUAGAAGUAGUCCCCAACUUAGUACAAAAGGGGUACCCUCUUUCUCAGGGAAGACCAGACCAUCUGUAAUUCAAGGUACAGUUGAAGUCCUAACUUCUUUAAUGCAGGAGCUACAAAACAGUGGAAAGACUGAUUCGGAACUUUGGAAAAACUGUGAGACCAGGUGGUUACAGCUAUUCAAUUUGGUGGAAAAACAAUGCCAAGAACAGAUAGUUGCCCAGCAGGAGCAGUUUCACAACCAAAUUCAAGUAAGUUGUCAUUUACAUU